AUUGAACGCUGGCGGCAUGCCUUACACAUGCAAGUCGAACGGUAACAGGUCUUCGGAUGCUGACGAGUGGCGAACGGGUGAGUAAUGCAUCGGAACGUGCCCAGUAGUGGGGGAUAGCCCGGCGAAAGCCGGAUUAAUACCGCAUACGACCUGAGGGUGAAAGGGGGGGAUCGCAAGACCUCUCGCUAUUGGAGCGGCCGAUGUCAGAUUAGCUAGUUGGUGGGGUAAAGGCCUACCAAGGCAACGAUCUGUAGUUGGUCUGAGAGGACGACCAGCCACACUGGGACUGAGACACGGCCCAGACUCCUACGGGAGGCAGCAGUGGGGAAUUUUGGACAAUGGGCGCAAGCCUGAUCCAGCAAUGCCGCGUGCAGGAAGAAGGCCUUCGGGUUGUAAACUGCUUUUGUCAGGGAAGAAAUCUUCUGGGUUAAUACCUCGGGAGGAUGACGGUACCUGAAGAAUAAGCACCGGCUAACUACGUGCCAGCAGCCGCGGUAAUACGUAGGGUGCGAGCGUUAAUCGGAAUUACUGGGCGUAAAGCGUGCGCAGGCGGCUUUGCAAGACAGAGGUGAAAUCCCCGGGCUCAACCUGGGAACUGCCUUUGUGACUGCAAGGCUAGAGUACGGCAGAGGGGGAUGGAAUUCCGCGUGUAGCAGUGAAAUGCGUAGAUAUGCGGAGGAACACCAAUGGCGAAGGCAAUCCCCUGGGCCUGUACUGACGCUCAUGCACGAAAGCGUGGGGAGCAAACAGGAUUAGAUACCCUGGUAGUCCACGCCCUAAACGAUGUCAACUGGUUGUUGGACGGCUUGCUGUUCAGUAACGAAGCUAACGCGUGAAGUUGACCGCCUAGGGAGUACGGCCGCAAGGUUGAAACUCAAGGAAUUGACGGGGACCCGCACAAGCGGUGGAUGAUGUGGUUUAAUUCAAUGCAACGCGAAAACCUUACCUACCCUUGACAUGCUAGGAAUCUUGCAGAGAUGUGAGAGUGCUCGAAAGAGAACCUAGACACAGGUGCUGCAUGGCCGUCGUCAGCUCGUGUCGUGAGAUGUUGGGUUAAGUCCCGCAACGAGCGCAACCCUUGUCAUCAGUUGCUACGAAAGGGCACUCUGAUGAGACUGCCGGUGACAAACCGGAGGAAGGUGGGGAUGACGUCAGGUCCUCAUGGCCCUUAUGGGUAGGGCUACACACGUCAUACAAUGGCCGGUACAGAGGGCUGCCAACCCGCGAGGGGGAGCCAAUCCCAGAAAGCCGGUCGUAGUCCGGAUCGCAGUCUGCAACUCGACUGCGUGAAGUCGGAAUCGCUAGUAAUCGCGGAUCAGCUUGCCGCGGUGAAUACGUUCCCGGGUCUUGUACACACCGCCCGUCACACCAUGGGAGCGGGUUCUGCCAGAAGUAGUUAGCCUAACCGCAAGGAGGGCGAUUACCACGGCAGGGUUCGUGACUGGGGUG
rnacentral:rRNA from 1 species